rnacentral:rRNA from 1 species
UACGUAGGGGGCAAGCGUUGUCCGGAUUCAUUGGGCGUAAAGAGCGUGUAGGCGGCCAGGUAGGUCGGUUGUGAAAACUGGAGGCUCAACCUUCAGAGGUCGACCGAAACCAUCUGGCUAGAGUCCGGGAGAGGAGAGUGGAAUUCCUGGUGUAGCGGUGAAAUGCGCAGAUAUCAGGAGGAACACCGGUGGUGCAAACGGCUUUCUGGACCGUAACUGACGCUGAGACACGAAAGCGUGGGGAGCAAACAGG